GACCGUUUCAUCGACAUCAGGAGUGCACAUGCCUUUGUCUCAGGGAACCCGGCACCACGGUGAGGCUGGACAGGUUAACAAUAUACUAGCCAACUUUCUCUUCAGUGUUCAGCUUAAACUGCAACUGGACAACUCAAUCAAUAUUAUUUGGUUUAUCUGUGGCAAAUGGUUUGUGCUAUUACUAAAAUCAACUCAUAGUUUCAAGCGAUAUUGUUUAGAUCAUAGGAUUUGGCUCUCCCAUGCAAAUAUGUAAGCACUGUCUAUAUAUGAUCUGAAGGCUGAAGCUUAAAGUCCAGCUAAAAUCUCUUGAAAUAUUAUGUGCACGGUGUGAAUUCUUUAGUUUGCACACCUUCUGAAAUGACAUGUCUUCUCUGAUCCCUUUCAUCUGUCAACUACUUAAAUUAUUAGUGAUAAAAACAUCCUUUGCAAAGAAAUUGUCUUUUCACCAUCUAGAAGGUCGAUUUUAUCUAUUUUCACUUAAAUAUGGUGACCUACUUGAACUCCUUUUUCCUUUUUCUUAUGCCUACUAAUGAUGUUCUGCCAAUAGGAUUCUCAUGCGCCGGUGUAAUGUACCUCAGAAAAUUCAUUGAGAAAGUUGGUGGGAACCUCCCAAAACGGCAUUUCUCAAAGGAUAUAAGAAAGUUAGGAGAUGCAAUCGCUGGGUGAUGAUAAUGGUGAAGCAAUAGUUUUUGUUGUUGCCACAACCUACAAGCAAAUGUAGGUAUACAGAUGUUGUAGAGUUAUGGAAGAAGUUAAUGGUGUCGCAUCUUAUUUGGCUUCACAUUAUCGAUAGAAAUCUGCAUUGGCGCUGAUCAUUAUCGAUAAUUGUAUUGAUUAGAAUGAUGGAGCAGUUCAAAAGUUUCCAAUCAAGCUUUGUUUUUGUAGAAUGUUUAUUUUCCUUUUCUUGAAGGAAAUAACUGUGUUGUCCGAGGUACUUGUUCUAUACAACCUGAUAUGUAUUUUAUUUUGCUCAGGUUUAUGGGCUUGUCUCCUUAAUGCACAAUGUCGGUGAUUGCACGGGAAGAUGUGGUUGUGAUCUGAUCUUGUUCGCUUGUCUGAUGUUUGAACUUUUAGUUUCUUCCAUUGCAUAUAGGAAGCUACUAUUUCAUAGGGACACAAGUAACAACAGGAUUCCACAUGUGAAUAAGGAUUGGAUCGUGAAUGUCGACGCGAGGCUGGCCCAUCAGAUCCCGAGCAAUUACCCUUAUUUUAGUCGGGAACAAGGUUCAUGUAAACACUGGAAGCAAACGAGUGGAAAAAAUGAAAGAGAAAAGAGAAUUGGCGAUUAUGACAGAAGCACGAACUCACAUGCUUGCAACAAUGCAUAAGGCAGGUUCUAUCACUUUUCUUGCUCUGGUUGAUGGUUAGUAUUCUCUUGUUAGAAGCCGCGUCUUUGAUGUUGGGGCCUGGCAUAUUCUUUUCGAUAUGCUAAUGGUCGGCCUGGAACUUUGUGACAUGUUUUCUUAGACUACAGUAGACCAGUUAUUAAGUGGCAUACCUUUUUUCCUUGGUUUCUAUUUUAGUUCUCAGAUGUCCAAAAUAUUGCUUUGCUUUGCCAUAUCGGCUCACUCUUGAUGCUUGAAAGCUAUUACUUCAAAACUAUGCUCUAUCUUAAAAAUUUCAGAUGUUUGUUUAUGCUUUCAGUUGCUUUUGUUUUGGCAGGAAGCUAUUUUAAUUGUUUCUUUUGCAACAUUGAGUUAAAAACUUCGUUCGUGAUAAAAUUGACCAGGAUUUGCAAACCAGACAUUAUUAACUUUGUUUCUCUUUUCUGUGCUUUGCCUUCAAAAGUGCGGAUACCUGAUUAUGUUUUCAGUUCCUUCUUUGGUUUAUUACAAUUCAUUUUGAAGCUAAAAUGUUUGUCGCUUUCUUUUCCAAAAUAAAAUACAGUGAUUAUGACAGCAGUGGAGACUUUCCCAAAUUAAUAAAAAAAAUAGUUAUUUCAAGAUUGUGUUAUCGUGUGCUUUCCCCUAUUUUCAGGAAUAGAAGAGAUGGUAAAUUCAUUAUAAUAUGUUUAAUUUGGUUCCUAAAAAUCAAAGUUGUUUCUCCUUUCUGUGAUUUGCCUUCAAAGGUUCAGAUACUUCAUUAUAUUCUUGAUUACUUCUCUGGUUAAUUAUCUCUGGAUUCAAGUAUAUGGAUAUCGUUGUUGCGGACACACCGUUGCUAUAGCAGCUAUUAGAUACAUGGAGAAUGCAGCUAAUUUGGUGGUCAAGGAUUUGAACUACCGCUGGUUAAAGCAAAUACAAGAAGAGAAUGGACAUAUCAGGAGUCAGCUUACAUAUAUCGCUGUUGUGGAACACACCGCUGCUGUAGCAAUUAUUAUCGUGUAUGCAGUACUUUUGUUUUGUGAAACCAAAAUGGAUCCAGAGCAAGGAGAAAUUGUGCCAUCACAUUAGACCUUCAACCAUUCCAUACCGUCUUAUGCAGUGUUGUUGGCUUCAGGACAGUGUUA